rnacentral:rRNA from 1 species
UGGGGAAUAUUGGACAAUGGGCGAAAGCCUGAUCCAGCCAUGCCGCGUGUGUGAAGAAGGUCUUCGGAUUGUAAAGCACUUUAAGUUGGGAGGAAGGGCAGUAAGCGAAUACCUUGCUGUUUUGACGUUACCGACGGAAUAAGCACCGGCUAACUCUGUGCCAGCAGCCGCGGUAAUACAGAGGGUGCAAGCGUUAAUCGGAAUUACUGGGCGUAAAGCGCGCGUAGGUGGUUCGUUAAGUUGAAUGUGAAAGCCCCGGGCUCAACCUGGGAACUGCAGCCAAAACUGGCGAGCUAGAGUAGGGCAGAGGGUGGUGGAAUUUCCUGUGUAGCGGUGAAAUGCGUAGAUAUAGGAAGGAACACCAGUGGCGAAGGCGACCACCUGGGCUCAUACUGACACGGAGGUGCGAAAGCGUGGGGAGCAAACAGG